ACGAACGCUGGCGGCGUGCUUAACACAUGCAGGUCGAACGGUGAAGCCCUUCGGGGUGGAUCAGUGGCGAACGGGUGAGUAACACGUGAGCAACCUGCCCCUGGCUCUGGGACAACCACUGGAAACGGUGGCUAAUACCGGAUACGACCCGCCUCGGCAUCGAGUGUGGGUGGAAAGUUUUUCGGCUGGGGAUGGGCUCGCGGCCUAUCAGCUUGUUGGUGAGGUGAAGGCUCACCAAGGCGACGACGGGUAGCCGGCCUGAGAGGGCGACCGGCCACACUGGGACUGAGACACGGCCCAGACUCCUACGGGAGGCAGCAGUGGGGAAUAUUGCACAAUGGGCGAAAGCCUGAUGCAGCGACGCCGCGUGAGGGAUGACGGCCUUCGGGUUGUAAACCUCUUUCAGCUCCGAAGAAGCGAAAGUGACGGUAGGAGCAGAAGAAGCACCGGCUAACUACGUG
rnacentral:rRNA from 1 species